rnacentral:rRNA from 1 species
UACGGAGGGGACUAGCGUUGUUCGGAAUUACUGGGCGUAAAGCGCACGUAGGCGGAUUUGUAAGUCAGGGGUGAAAUCCCGGGGCUCAACCUCGGAACUGCCUUUGAUACUGCAAAUCUCGAGUCCGGAAGAGAUGAGUGGAAUUCCUAGUGUAGAGGUGAAAUUCGUAGAUAUUAGGAAGAACACCAGUGGCGAAGGCGGCUCACUGGUCCGGUACUGACGCUGAGGUGCGAAAGCGUGGGGAGCAAACA